rnacentral:misc_RNA from 1 species
AAGUCGUAACAAGGUUUCCGUAGGUGAACCUGCGGAAGGAUCAUUACUGGGUUUGGGCCCUGCCCGCCACCCGCCCUCUGUUAUUUAGUGACUUGUUUCGGCCAGUGGGGCGACCCACGGCCGGCAGCAACUCUGAAGCAUCUUGAAGUCUGAUACACUGUCAAUAAAAAAAACUUUCAACAACGGAUCUCUUGGUUCUG